GUGCACGCUCUGUUCACACAUCCACUCACACCUGUGCACCCUCUGUAGUUCUAUGGUUGGGGGAACACCGUCUGCCUCCUGUGGUUCUAUGUCUUUACACACACACCAAAGUGAAGUCUUAUGGAAUGUGCGCCGCGUUUAACGCAAUACAAUACAACUUUCAGCAACGGAUCUCUUGGCUCUCGCAUCGAUGAAGAACGCAGCGAAAUGCGAUAAGUAAUGUGAAUUGCAGAAUUCAGUGAAUCAUCGAAUCUUUGAACGCACCUUGCGCCCCUUGGCAUUCCGAGGGGCAUGCCUGUUUGAGUAUCAUGAACACCUCAACUCUCAUGGUUUGCCGUGAUGAGAUUGGACUUUGGGGUUUGCUGGCAUGCGGUUGGUCCUCUCAAAUGAAUCAGCUUGCCAGUGUUUGUGGCGUCACAGGUGUGAUAACUGUCUGCGCUUGUGGUGUCUGCCAGGUGACCUUCAGUGAUGAGGCUUGCUGGAGCUUCCAAAUGUCUCUCCUGAUGAAGACAGCUUUUGAUCGUCGAUCUCAAAUCAGGUAGGACUACCCGCUGACUUAAGAUAUCAUAAGCG
rnacentral:rRNA from 1 species